ACACGGAGGGCAAGAAAUCCUAAUCAGAGGUCUCUCUCUGAGUCUCCCUCCCUCUCCAUCUCUCCCCCUCCUCUCUUUCCCUCUUUGUCUGUCUGUGUCUCUCUCCUUCCCUCCCUCCCUCGGUCUGUCCGUCUCUCCUCACCCCUGUCUCUCCGCUUCUUCCUCUCUUCUCCCUCUGUCUGUCUCUCUUUCACUCUGUCUGUCUGUCUGUCUCUCUCUCUCCCUCCAUCUAUCUGUCUGUCCCUCCCUCCCUCGGUCUGUCCGUCUCUCCUCACCCCUGUCUCUCCGCUUCUUCCUCUCUUCUCUUCUCCCUCUGUCUGUCUCUCUUUCACUCUGUCUGUCUGUCUGUCUCUCUCUCUCCCUCCAUCUAUCUGUCUGUCCCUCCCUCCCUCGGUCUGUCCGUCUCUCCUCACCCCUGUCUCUCCGCUUCUUCCUCUCUUCUCUUCUCCCUCUGUCUGUCUCUCUUUCACUCUGUCUGUCUGUGUCUCUCUCUCUCCCUCCAUCUAUCUGUCUGUCCCUCCCUCCCUCGGUCUGUCCGUCUCUCCUCACCCCUGUCUCUCCGCUUCUUCCUCUCUUCUCUUCUCCCUCUGUCUGUCUCUCUUUCACUCUGUCUGUCUGUGUCUCUCUCUCUCCCUCCAUCUAUCUGUCUGUCCCUCCCUCCCUCGGUCUGUCCGUCUCUCCUCACCUCUGUUUCUCCGCUUCUUCCGCCCCGGCCGCCCCUCCGCUCCAGAAGAGCCCGAAGGACGGCCCACAGCCGCAGAGACCCUCGAGAUCGAGGCUGUUUUAGGCGUCUGUCGGCUGCGGCUCCCCAGGCCCGGCCUCCUGCCCGUUCUGUGCACAUGUCAGGCACGUAGAGCAGGGCAAAGGCGAGGCCGGCUCAGUCUUGGCUUCCUCCCCCAUCACGCCGCUCCUUCCGGUGGGGCCCUCAGGAAAGUGCCAGAUACACGAGCUCGUCAUGAAGGGAGAUGCGGGACCCAGGCACGGCUUUGGCUCCCCGGCUCUGGGUUCAAAUCUCAGCUCUCCUGUCCGGCUCUUGGGCCAGAAAUGACGACGACAGUGUUGAUGACAGUGUUGAGGAAAGCUUUGAAGCCUUCAUGGGCCCCAGAAAUGGGAGCUAUUUUUAGUGCAGGAAGUAGGGCAGCGAACGCCUCUUUUCCAGGACUGCAGGCUCUGUUCCUCGACCCCAGCGAACCUCCGUCUUACAAAAAUACUCCCUAA
rnacentral:lncRNA from 1 species